UACAGAGGAGCCAAGCGUUGUCCGGAUUGACUGGGCGUAAAGCGCACGCAGGCGGUUGCGCGCGGGGGGUGUGAAACCGGGUGGCUUAACCGCCCGCCGCCAUCCCAUACGGGGCGCCUGGAGCCAUCCAGAGGUCGGUGGAAUUGCCGGUGUAGUGGUGAAAUGCGUAGAGAUCGGCAGGAACACCCAGGGGGAAACCAGCCGACUGGGGAUGUGCUGACGCUGAGGUGCGAGAGCGUGGGGAGCGAACCGG
rnacentral:rRNA from 1 species